AUUGAACGCUGGCGGCAUGCCUUACACAUGCAAGUCGAACGGCAGCACGGGAGCAAUCCUGGUGGCGAGUGGCGAACGGGUGAGUAAUAUAUCGGAACGUGCCCAGUCGUGGGGAUAACGUAGCGAAAGCUACGCUAAUACCGCAUACGAUCUAUGGAUGAAAGCGGGGGAUCGCAAGACCUCGCGCGAUUGGAGCGGCCGAUAUCAGCUUAGGUAGUUGGUGAGGUAAAGGCUCACCAAGCCGACGAUCUGUAGCUGGUCUGAGAGGACGACCAGCCACACUGGGACUGAGACACGGCCCAGACUCCUACGGGAGGCAGCAGUGGGGAAUUUUUGGACAAUGGGCGCAAGCCUGAUCCAGCAAUGCCGCGUGCAGGAUGAAGGCCUGGUUGUAACGUGUACUUUGUUACGGUAACGAACGGUA
rnacentral:rRNA from 1 species